ACCAUCUUUUUGUUGGGGUUGCACUACUGUCCAGUGAGCACAUAGUGAGGGCAGUACUGCUGAGGCCUAUACAACAUGCCUGCAUCAUCUAGAGCUUUGCUUUACCUUGGUACUAUUUUUGGAAAA
ensembl:snRNA